rnacentral:rRNA from 1 species
UACGGGGGGGGCAAGCGUUGUUCGGAAUUACUGGGCGUAAAGGGCUCGUAGGCGGCCAACUAAGUCGGAUGUGAAAUCCCCAGGCUCAACCUGGGAACUGCAUCCGAUACUGGAUGGCUUGAAUUCGGGAGAGGGAUGCAGAAUUCCAGGUGUAGCGGUGAAAUGCGUAGAUAUCUGGAGGAACACCGGUGGCGAAGGCGGCAUCCUGGACCGACACUGACGCUGAGGAGCGAAAGCCAGGGGAGCAAACGGGG